rnacentral:lncRNA from 1 species
UGUUCUUCGUCAUCUUCUUCCUUCCAAUAAAAAAACAUGAAAAAUGCAUCUCUGAACUUCAAAAUGAAAAUGAGUAGUCAUUGUGCUCAGCUCUGAUCAUAGAUGCUAAAGUUGAGCUCAAAAUUCAGCAAUUUAAAUGGAGUGCAGAGAAAUUGGGCUUCAAAGUGAAGAACCCUAGAAUUUAAGAUCCAAAUGAAGCAUCUAUGGCGGAUAAAAAAAUGCAAUUAAACAUGAGGAAACAUUCAUUAGAUCCAGACGCUGAACAUGGUAUCAAGCUUGACUAAAAACGAAGGCUUGAACUACAUGUAAGGAAGCAAACUAAAAGGUACAAAAAUGCGGAUUCACAAGCUCAAACAGGUAAGUGCUUCACUCUAUUUUUCAUUUUAUCAGCUUCAUAGUAUGUGUGGGAUUGAUUAUGGGUAGUACAAGUAGUUGGAGAUGGUGUGUAUUGAUGAAUCUGAUAGCCUGCUUUGGUGUUGUUGUAGUGUAAAUUUGGAAGAACUUUCGUUGCUUUUCAAGCUUGCCUUCUUGAGUGAACUAUGAUGCUGUUAUAUAGGCUGAGUGAAGAGAGUUGGCACGUGUUAAUUUUUGUGCCAAAAUCGUGUGAACUUGUGAGAAUCAUGACUGAUUUGUGUGUAGGAUUCAUGAGCUGGAAAUGUGCAAUAAUGGUUCUCUUGUAAUGUAGAUUCUUUCCUGAAUUCAUGAGAUUGCUAGAAAAUGAUAAG